UACAGAGGGGGCAAGCGUUGUUCGGAAUUACUGGGCGUAAAGGGCGCGUAGGUGGCCUUCUAAGUUGAACGUGAAAUCCCUGGGCUCAACCCAGGAACUGCGUCCAAGACUGGGAGGCUUGAAUCCGGGAGAGGGAUGCGGAAUUCCAGGUGUAGCGGUGAAAUGCGUAGAUAUCAGGAGGAACACCGGUGGCGAAGGCGGCUUGCUGGGCCUUACCUGACGCUGAGGAGCGAAAGCGUGGGGAGCGAACAGG
rnacentral:rRNA from 1 species